rfam:Daucus carota subsp. sativus cultivar DH1 chromosome 2, whole genome shotgun sequence.
AUAUCUUUUUCGGUCUUUUGGCUAAGAUCAAGUGUAGUAUCUGUUCUUGUCAGUUCAGAUAUGUGAAUCACUGGUUCACACGAUAUUAAAUUUAUUUUUUAAGGGGGGAGUUCAGUACAGUAGCUUGCUCCUGGGUUCUUCGAGUGUCGCCUCAGCUUUGCACUAUAGCUUUGGCCUGGCACACCCCAC